UACGUAGGUGGCGAGCGUUGUCCGGAUUUACUGGGCGUAAAGGGCGCGUAGGCGGCGCAACAAGUCACCUGUGAAAUCUUCAGGCUUAACCUGAAGCGGCCAAGUGAUACUGUCGUGCUAGAGUACGGAAGGGGCAACUGGAAUUCUUGGUGUAGCGGUGAAAUGCGUAGAUAUCAAGAGGAACACCUGCGGCGAAGGCGGGUUGCUGGGCCGACACUGACGCUGAGGCGCGAAAGCUAGGGGAGCGAACGGG
rnacentral:rRNA from 1 species